UUUGUCCGAGAUGUUUUUCUAUUUUUGUGGCCGAACUUCCCUUUUAUUUUAGAGACAGAGUGAUGCAAGAAGAGUAAUUGUUAAUAUUUUCUAAGUGACUGAUUUUCUCUGGGUUCCAUCGAUUUCAAUUCUUGAUUGUUUUUUUCAACUUUUCUCUUUUUCGUUUAAUACGACUUUCAUUAUUCGUUAGGUUUUGAUUGGACUUCGAUGUUCCGCAUCUCGAUUCUGAUUAAUUGAAGAAAUUUUGAAGGAGCAACAAUGAAGUAUUGAUAAUACACUCUUCUGACAGUGAGUAAGGGUUUCUCAAUCAUAUAAAAUUCAUGGGGUCACUGAUAAUUUUCAUUGGAUUGGUUUUUAGUUUGAAAAAACCCAACUAGAUGAUUCCGCUUUACUUCUUUGUGGGAGGAAUCGGUACUAGUAUGUUGGUGGGACUUUGAGCCGUGAUGGAACAAGAUUCAACAGGUGGAGUAGUGGCUUCAGAUGGUCUGGAUUUAGAAAGCCUGUAGUAGUGGAUUGAUAAGCUACGGAUGGAGGAUGGUUGGAUAAGCUGAGUUUGAGGAGUUGGCGUUGCUGGUUGGGAAGCUACGUGAGAAAAUGAUUGUAUACUCUGUCAUGCAUCUACAAAAUUUGUUGCAUAACUUGUUAUGCAGUCCCGAAAAUGGUUGCAUAACACGUUCUGUGGUUGUUGUUUUUUU